GUUUACCUAAUGACUAAUUUAUUUAAAGUUGUAACCUUUAAUUGUUUUUAGUUAAGUAAAUA
rnacentral:tRNA from 1 species